rnacentral:rRNA from 1 species
AUUGAACGCUGGCGGCAGGCCUAACACAUGCAAGUCGAACGAGUGGCGGACGGGUGAGUAAUGUCUGGGAAACUGCCUGAUGGAGGGGGAUAACUACUGGAAACGGUAGCUAAUACCGCAUACCAUCGGAUGUGCCCAGAUGGGAUUAGCUAGUAGGUGGGGUAACGGCUCACCUAGGCGACGAUCCCUAGCUGGUCUGAGAGGAUGACCAGCCACACUGGAACUGAGAGACGGUCCAGACUCCUACGGGAGGCAGCAGUGGGGAGUAUUGCACAAUGGGCGGAAGCCUGAUGCAGCGACGCCGCGUGGGGGAUGACGGCCUUCGGGUUGUAAACUCCUUUCACCAUCGACGCGGUAGAUGGAGAAGAAGCACCGGCUAACUACGUGCCAGCAGCCGCGGUAAUAC